rnacentral:piRNA from 1 species
UCCUUCUGUUUAUUCGUGUGCUGCUGCAAGU